rnacentral:telomerase_RNA from 1 species
AUCGUGGCGGAGUGCUCCUUCUAACCCUAAAUCUGGGUCUCCUCCUGUCCUCCUCGUUCGCUGUUUUCUUGACUGGCUUUCAGCAAACGACGGGAGGUGUUUGUCGGAAUGGCCGUUAACGAACAACAACAAAAAAAAAAGCCAAGCAACUCACUCCGUCGUGCUCAGUGUCCCGCGCAGACACGCCGUGAAACCCCUGCCGUGGUCAGCUUGGCUGCCGCGAAGAGUUCGUCUCUGCUGCUCCGGCGUCUCCGUGUCGGGACCGUCGCCCGCUGAGCAGAUUAAAACUGAGCAGGGUGACUUUACCGGGCCUCCACUUGGUCCGGCUAGGGAGCCCAGGCUCAAACACCU